GUCUUCCGCCGCUUUUUAAUGACGCCGGCUCUCCCCGAGCGCUGAUUGGACAGUUCCCAUCCGCCCGCGCGCUGACGCGACGGAAACUCCUUCUCCCAUUGGGGGGGCGGGCGGUGAAGAGGCGGGCCCGGAGGCGGGGGCUGCUUGGCCCGGCAGCUAAAAAUAAACGCCGACUGGGAGCGCGCGUCUGGGCGCCGGUGAAGUUUGGAGGCUUCGAAGUUCGGAGGGGCUGGAGGCGGGUGGGAGGGGCUGGAGGCGGGUGGGAGGGGCGGAGAGAAGCUACCUCCCCAGGGAUUGGUCAGAUCACGGGGAGGGGGCGGGGAGACGCGUGGGAGGUGCGGUGAUUGGUGGGCCGCUGAGCGGUCCCGGAACUCGCGCCCGCUGAGCCCUUAAAAGGCACGACGCGCGUGGCGGGUGCCUUGUUGGGCUGUUGGUUGGCGGGUAUCUUCCUCGUGUGUGUUUUUUUGUUUUUGUUUUAAAAUUGCUGCAUUGGCUUUCGUGAGUCUAGGUUGGAGAAUGUAGGUGAUGACGAAGCAUCAGCCAUGGGUGAAGGACCAUGGGAAGAAUGGAGUAUGCGUUCAUUGAAAAUGUGAACGCGUUUCAUGAAAAAAGCGUUCUCAGUUCUCAUGCAUCUCCUCAGUUCCGGUCUUAACCCUGGCGUUUGCGGAUCCCACACACCUCACGGGAAAGGAACAGCGCCGGGUCGACGCAGGUUUAACUGUCAACGCCUGCAUGGCUAAUUGAGUAAGGCAGACUUAAAACACUCGCCGUUGUUAGCUGAGAACUCGCCAGAACCGUCCUUCCAAGGGGAUUUAAGACCGAUGAGCCGGCGCUCUGACGUGGGCUGACUUCUCCGCUGAAGGGACGCUGCUGUAUUUCCCUCCAGAGGUAUUCUUGUCCAUGGAGGUUGCUGAAGAAGCAAAUACCUGCUACUCGUACUAAAGUCCUUCUGUCGUCCUCGGGCUGUCUGGCAGUGUUGACCUGCCUGCUUAAGUGGGACCACCGCUCUCUGGUCAUGGCCUCGCCCAGUGAGCACCGAGGAGAAGCCCCCAGGAAACCGAGCGGCAAGGGCAGGAUUCUUGGGUUAGGAAGAUUUAGAGGUGACAGUCCCUAGGACUGUCGCGGUGCUGGGUUUAGAACACUGACGUUGGGGCACAAUCCUCCCACUGCUCCCUGCUCACUGGAGAGUGCGCGUUGCACAUUCAGGUCCUGGAGGGGGGCGUCUUACAGCUGAAACCCCAUGCCACCAGUUGGACAUGAGAAAAUCUUUCAAGUUGUCUUUUUUGUUAAUUGAUUUUUGCAUUCCACCCUGUAAUUAGUUGAAAUAAUUAAACAAUUCAGGCCUUAAAAUGGACUCGCCAGGGAAAUGUAUAAUUUUUGUCCUGUGAAUUGGAUGCCUCUCCUUCAGUAUUUUUUCCAGGUGGCAUAGUGGUAAAGAAUCUGCCUGUCGAGGCAAGAGACACCGGGUUCUGUCCCUGGGUCAGGAAGGUCCCUGGAGUAGGAGAUGUCAACCCGCUCCAGUAUUUUUGCCUGGGAAAUUCCAUGGACAGAAGAGCCUGGCCAUGGAGUCACAGAGCAUGAUGCGAUUGAGCCAGUACCCACUAUAGUAUUUUGAACUAAUGGUACCAGACUCCCCAGUAGGUUGUGAAAUCAGCUUAGUGGUUGUUUUUUUUUUU